GCCAGACUCCUACGGGAGGCAGCAGUGGGGAAUAUUGCACAAUGGGGGAAGCCCUGAUGCAGCGACGCCGCGUGAGUGAAGAAGUAAUUCGUUAUGUAAAGCUCUCUCAGCAGGGAAGAAACAGACGGUACCUGAGUAAGAAGCCCCGGCUAACUACGUGCCAGCAGCCGCGGUAAUACGUAGGGGGCAAGCGUUAUCCGGAUUUACUGGGUGUAAAGGGAGCGUAGACGGCGAAGAAAGUCUGAAGUGAAAGCCCGCGGCUUAACCGCGGAACUGCUUUGGAAACUUGUUUGCUGGAGUACCGGAGAGGUAAGCGGAAUUCCUAGUGUAGCGGUGAAAUGCGUAGAUAUUAGGAGGAACACCAGUGGCGAAGGCGGCUUACUGGACGGUAACUGACGUUGAGGCCCGAAAGCUUGGGGAGCAAACAGGAUUAGAUACCCCAGUAGA
rnacentral:rRNA from 1 species